AGAGUUUGAUCAUGGCUCAGGACGAACGCUGGCGGCGUGCUUAACACAUGCAAGUCGAACGGUGAACCUGCUUCGGUGGGGGAUCAGUGGCGAACGGGUGAGUAACACGUGGGCAACCUGCCCCUGGCUCUGGGAUAACUCCAAGAAAUUGGGGCUAAUACCGGAUAUGACCGCUGACCGCAUGGUCUGGUGGUGGAAAGAUUUAUCGGCUGGGGACGGGCCCGCGGCCUAUCAGCUUGUUGGUGGGGUAGUGGCCUACCAAGGCGACGACGGGUAGCCGGCCUGAGAGGGUGACCGGCCACACUGGGACUGAGACACGGCCCAGACUCCUACGGGAGGCAGCAGUGGGGAAUAUUGCGCAAUGGGCGAAAGCCUGACGCAGCGACGCCGCGUGGGGGAUGACGGCCUUCGGGUUGUAAACCUCUUUCAGCAGGGACGAAGCGGAAGUGACGGUACCUGCAGAAGAAGCACCGGCCAACUACGUGCCAGCAGCCGCGGUAAUACGUAGGGUGCAAGCGUUGUCCGGAAUUAUUGGGCGUAAAGAGCUCGUAGGCGGUUCGUCGCGUCGGCUGUGAAAUCCCGAGGCUCAACCUCGGGUCUGCAGUCGAUACGGGCGGACUUGAGUUCGGCAGGGGAGACUGGAAUUCCUGGUGUAGCGGUGAAAUGCGCGAUAUCAGGAGGAACACCGGUGGCGAAGGCGGGUCUCUGGGCCGAUACUGACGCUGAGGAGCGAAAGCGUGGGGAGCGAACAGGAUUAGAUACCCUCGUAGUCC
rnacentral:rRNA from 1 species